GACGUAGGGCGCGAGCGUUAAUCGGAUUUACUGGGCGUAAAGCGCGUGUAGGCGGCUUUGCAAGUCGGAUGUGAAAUCCCACGGCUCAACCGUGGAAGUGCAUCCGAAACUGCAUCGCUGGAGUCUCGGAGAGGAAGGUGGAAUGCUUGGUGUAGAGGUGAAAUUCGUAGAUAUCAAGCAGAACACCUGCGGCGAAGGCGGCCUUCUGGACGAUGACUGACGCUGAGACGCGAAAGCGUGGGGAGCAAACAGG
rnacentral:rRNA from 1 species